UGUUGUUGUUGCAGCCGUGUUGACUUUCUAAAGCCGUGUACCAUCCAAUACUGGAAACUUAACUAAAUUGUUUGACGGAAGAGAAUGCGGAUUCCCAGUGUCCCAGGAAGCCCUACACCAGUUCGAUGACUUACUGCCAGCUCCACGCAGUCUGUGUGGUGAUGUUGAUCUCCAAAGUCAUUUUGCAGGCUUGGAGAGACAGAGUGGGCUUGCUCUUCCAGUCAACUGAACAACUGCUGUUGUGAAUUCAUAUUAUUAUUUAAGAAUAUGUCUGGACUUUAGAAUCUUCAGCUCCUGGUUCUGCAACAUAAUUUGACUGGUAGACAAACACGUGUUAUGUAAAUAAAUUAUUAUAAAAAUUAA